rnacentral:misc_RNA from 1 species
CAGGUUGUCAUAGCGGGCUGCAACCG